GACGAACGCUGGCGGCGUGCCUAAUACAUGCAAGUUGAACGCUUCUUUUCCCACCGGAGCUUGCUCCACCGGGAAAAGAGGAGUGGCGAACGGGUGAGUAACACGUGGGUAACCUGCCCAUCAGAAGGGGAUAACACUUGGAAACAGGUGCUAAUACCGUAUAACAAUCGAAACCGCAUGGUUUCGUUUUGAAAGGCGCUUUACGGUGCCGCUGAUGGAUGGACCCGCGGUGCAUUAGCUAGUUGGUGAGGUAACGGCUCACCAAGGCCACGAUGCAUAGCCGAGCUGAGAGGCUGAUCGGCCACAUUGGGACUGAGACACGGCCCAAACUCCUACGGGAGGCAGCAGUAGGGAAUCUUCGGCAAUGGACGAAAGUCUGACCGAGCAACGCCGCGUGAGUGAAGAAGGUUUUCGGAUCGUAAAACUCUGUUGUUAGAGAAGAACAAGGGUGAGAGUAACUGUUCACCCCUUGACGGUAUCUAACCAGAAAGCCACGGCUAACUACGUGCCAGCCGCCGCCGUAA
rnacentral:rRNA from 1 species